UACGAAGGGGGGCUAGCGUUGUUCGGAAUUACUGGGCGUAAAGCGCGCGCAGGCGGUUCGAUAAGUUGGGGGUGAAAUCCCCGGGCUCAACCCGGGAAUGGCCUUCAAGACUGUCGAUCUAGAGGACGAGAGAGGUGAGUGGAAUUCCCAGUGUAGAGGUGAAAUUCGUAGAUAUUGGGAAGAACACCGGUGGCGAAGGCGGCUCACUGGCUCGUUUCUGACGCUGAGGCGCGAAAGCGUGGGGAGCAAACAGG
rnacentral:rRNA from 1 species